UACGUAGGGGGCUAGCGUUGUCCGGAAUCAUUGGGCGUAAAGAGCGCGUAGGCGGCCAGAUAAGUCCGGGUGUGAAAGUCAAAGGCUCAACCUUUGAAUGCCGCUGGAAACUGUCUGGCUAGAGUCCGGGAGGGGCGAGUGGAAUUCCUGGUGUAGCGGUGAAAUGCGCAGAUAUCAGGAGGAACACCAAUGGCGAAGGCAGCUCGCUGGAACGGUACUG
rnacentral:rRNA from 1 species